ensembl:lncRNA LINC02465 long intergenic non-protein coding RNA 2465
CAUCUAUCUUCUGUCAUGUAACCAAUGGCUCUACCCAACAUAUUCUUCUCACCACAGAUGACAAAGACACAAGGAGCCAAGACAGAUCAUUCAAGCAUAUUCAUUGCCUCUAUCUUCAUCCCAUUAAAUAACAUCCCGCCAACCAAAGCAAGUUAUCUGCAUAAGAAUAAAUAUUCCACCUACUCUACUGCAAGGCCCUGCAAGAGUCAUGAGACAAAAGAUAUAUAAUUGAGCACUCUGAUGCCAAGGAUGUUCCAUGCAUAGUUCCAUAGGAGACUGCACAGUUGGAACCUGGGCUCCACCACACUCACAAACUAUGGGACUUCAGAGAGCAGUCACACACGUGGAUGAUCAAAGGUCAUUUCCUGGACAACAAAAGAUCCUCUGUGGACAGCACCCAAGAUGGAAACAACUGACAGUCUAUGGCCAGGGCUAUACUCUGGUGAAACUGAAAGGUGUCUGCAUGGAAGUGUCUGACUACCACCAUCCACUCAGGCAAAUGCAUUUGUUUCCCUCUAUUCAUUAUUAGAAGAGAGGAGAUUACAUACCAGACAUAUACCAAUAGAGAUGGGGUUUCAUCAUGUUGACCAGGCUGGUCUUGCCCUCCCGACCACAGGUGAUCUGCCCGCCUGAGCCUCCCAAAGUGCUGGGAUUACAGGCAUGAGCCACCACGCCUGUCCAAAACUUCUUGACUUAAUAAAGAAAGAAAGAAAGAAAAAAAAAAAAAAUCCUGUGCAGAGGUUGCUAAGAACCUUGGUAAGAAUCUUCUAUCUAUAAAAUUGUGAAGAAGAAUAAAAAAA